GCACUCAUAGCAAAGUGGUUAUGCAGUGGAUUGCAAAUCCAUGUACCUCGGUUCGAUUCCGAGUGAGUGCUCCA
rnacentral:tRNA from 1 species